rnacentral:lncRNA from 1 species
AAUGAGACCAAACAGAUACUGCUGUAGGUCUUUCCUGAAAGUGAAGGGCCGUAAAGCAAACUUUCAAAAACCGGGGCGGGGAUACCUGUAUGGUUGGACAAAUGCUUUGAAUCCUUUGCUGGCCUGAACGCUCUGCAGAGUCUGAUCCCAUUCCAUACCUGGUACCCACUUUGCUUUCUACUU